UUUUAAAAGUGUGAGAUAGUCUUUACAAUGCUUGGUUUAUAUUUGGGAGUCUUUAGACCAUAUAUAAACCAAGCAUUGUAAAGACUAUCUCUCACUUUUCAAA